rnacentral:rRNA from 1 species
UACAGAGGGGCAAGCGUUAUUCGGAAUUAUUGGGCGUAAAGGGCGCGUAGGCGGCUUUGCAAGUGACGGGUGAAAUCCCUCGGCUUAACCGAGGAACUGCCUGUCAGACUGGAAGGCUUGAGACCGGGAGAGGUGAGUGGAAUUCCCGAGUGUAGCGGUGAAAUGCGUAGAUAUUGGGAGGAACACCAGUGGCGAAGGCGGCUCACUGGACCGGAACUGGACGCUGAGGAGCGAAAGCGUGGGGAGCGAACAGG